GGGAGAGUGGCGGAAUUGGUAUACGCGGUUGACUUAAAAUCAACUGUCCAUUUGGACUUGAGGGUUCGAGUCCCUCCUCUCCCACCA
rnacentral:tRNA from 1 species